AUUGAACGCUGGCGGCAUGCCUUACACAUGCAAGUCGAACGGUAACGGGCCUUCGGGUGCCGACGAGUGGCGAACGGGGGAGUAAUGUAUCGGAACGUACCUUUCAGUGGGGGAUAACGUAGCGAAAGUUACGCUAAUACCGCAUAUUCUGUGAGCAGGAAAGAAGGGGAUCGAAAGACCUUGCGCUGAUUGAGCGGCCGAUAUCAGAUUAGCUAGUUGGUGAGGUAAAGGCUCACCAAGGCGACGAUCUGUAGCGGGUCUGAGAGGAUGAUCCGCCACACUGGAACUGAGACACGGUCCAGACUCCUACGGGAGGCAGCAGUGGGGAAUUUUGGACAAUGGGGGCAACCCUGAUCCAGCCAUGCCGCGUGAGUGAAGAAGGCCUUCGGGUUGUAAAGCUCUUUCGGCCGGGAAGAAAUCGUAUCAGCUAAUACCUGGUGCGGAUGACGGUACCGGCAUAAGAAGCACCGGCUAACUACGUGUCAGCCGCCGCAGUAAGAC
rnacentral:rRNA from 1 species